rnacentral:tRNA from 1 species
GCAUUGAUGAUUCAGCAUUACAAUUCUCGUCUUUUAAACAGUAGACCUGGGUUCGAUUCCCAACCAAUGUA